UACAGAGGUCUCAAGCGUUGUUCGGAUUCAUUGGGCGUAAAGGGUGCGUAGGCGGCGCGGUAAGUCGGGUGUGAAAUCUCGGAGCUUAACUCCGAAACUGCAUUCGAUACUGCCGUGCUUGAGGACUGGAGAGGAGACUGGAAUUUACGGUGUAGCGGUGAAAUGCGUAGAUAUCGUAAGGAACACCAGUGGCGAAGGCGGCUCUCUGGACCCUUGCCUGACGCUGAGGCGCGAAAGCGUGGGGAGCGAACAGG
rnacentral:rRNA from 1 species